rnacentral:rRNA from 1 species
UACGGAGGGUGCAAGCGUUGUCCGGAUUUAUUGGGCUUAAAGGGUGCGUAGGCGGCCUUCUAAGUCAGUGGUGAAAGCCCAUCGCUCAACGAUGGAACUGCCAUUGAUACUGUAAGGCUUGAGUACAGACGAGGUAGGCGGAAUUGAUGGUGUAGCGGUGAAAUGCAUAGAUACCAUCAAGAACACCGAUUGCGUAGGCAGCAUACUAGGCUGUAACUGACGCUGAGGCACGAAAGCGUGGGGAGCGAACAGG